AGAAUUUUCAAAGGUAGCACGUUAACAAGCAAACUUUUCUUAAAAUAAGUACAACCUGUUGAUUUUUCUCUUUGGGAAGUAAACAUAUUGCUUACACAGAUGAAAGACGAAAAUGACGAAGACAUAUAAGGAAUAACGCAGGGAAACUGGAUUUGAUAAUAAAGACUGGCCUAGUAUGCGGACGACACGGUUUUCCAAGACGAUUUCAAAGGAGCAAUAAUUCUAUGAUAAAAAUGACUAAGAAGUGUUUCUCCUUGAUGCAAGUUUUUCUUCACUUCCACCAAUAAGCUCAAUUUUAUAUUUCUUCUAUGAAAAUCAGUUCGACAAAAUAACAUACGCUGGUAUUUCGUAAUUGCACAUUUUUCCAUAUUUUUUGACUAAAAUACGUUUAAUAAACCUUGUUAAAAAGUUGUCUAAGAUAACUCCACUUCGCGGAAUACAUGAACAAAAGUUUAUAAAGUUGUAUGAAAAUUUUAUAUUAGGAAUGGGGUAUUAGGAAUACCGUACCAUGAGAGUUUCUAGUUAUUAUAUGGUUAAAAUAUGAAAAUAUGAAGCAUGUUCUUUAAUUGCAAUCUCAAAAAAAUGUUAAUCACUAAAAAUUUCGAAUUUUUGAUUGGUAAAGAUAUUUUUUAUAGUUAUAUAUGCAUAUAUCCUGAAUGCUUUAAUUUGACAUUUUUUUACGGAGCUUUUGUAGUAAGCAUUUGGUAUGGUCUUUGUCUGCCCCAUGACGACCCACCUAACAGAAAGGCUGAAAGAUCUUGGAAGUCGCCAGAAAGAGAACCAUUAUUUAUUUAUUGAAAGUGCCAUCUCAAAUUUGAUCGAUGAACGAAUGAGUGUAUUCGAUCCUUAGAAAUUCUAAAUUAUAAAGUAGAAAAUUUAUCAGAAACAAUGAUUGUACUUAUAAUUGUUGAAUGGCUAUAUAAAUUAACUGGUUAUUGGUGGGAGAAAGAACUAAAUAAUUUGAAAAGCUUUGAUAUUUUAACCCUUUAAAGGGCCAUUUUUUUCUAGUCAUAUUAUGUUAAAAUAUUUUUAAGCUUGAAAUUAGAGUAAGAAAAGAGAUUCAUUUAGCUUAUUAGAUAAAUUUAAUUUGAUGAAUUAAUAAAUUUGGUUAAUUAAUAAUUAAGUAACAAAUCAAGAAACAUCAUUUUGUGUGAGAUAAAGAACUAAAGCCUCUAGGUUUCUGUCUUUCUAAAAAAAUUUGUCAGAACUUAUGCCAACAUACAUAAUUUCAUACAAAGACUAAUAAAUUUGGUGGGAAGCAUACUUCCCACGGCCCUAGAAAGAGUUAAAACAACUGCUUUCGUUUUUGCAAAGUCUAACCAACAAAACAAUAAAAUAAAGAAAUAAAAAAUAUAAAUAAAUCUUAAUUUUCUAAAAUAAAACUUGGGAGAAUGGUUUCUACGUCUAAUACAAAGGCACGAAUUUCAAAUGUGUAAAAUGCAACAGAGAAGAAACUCAUGGAUUGUAGAAUUUCUGAGAAUGACAGAGGUGAAUUCAUAAAAAGAAAUAUUCUUACUUUUAAUUUCCUAAAAAUCAUCCCGUUCGUAACUGAUUGUACGGUGUCAGAAUUCUAAGAAACAUUCCACUUAUCUUCCUUUCUAGAAUGAAAAACAAACCAGAAUCAAAAGACCGGAAAUCGCAGAUGUUAUGAACUCUGAACGAAUAAUGACGCCAUCAAGUCUUAAUCUGCAAAUUUUGAUUUAUCUAAUGAUCGGGAUAUUUUUUCUGGUGUAGCAGUGAGUGGAGGUGGGGUGUGGCAAACAAAAACCGCUAUUUGAUCUACUGGAAAUAUUUUUGUUCCAGAUAGUUUUGACAAAUGAGUUUGCUAAUUUAUUGUAGACUGAAAAAAAAAAUCCCUGUUGCGGUUUCUGGGUUAAAUAGUUCUAAAAUAAAUGUGAAAUCAAGAGUCUAUUCUGUACUUUCUAAUAAAAGUGACUUAGAGAUUCAGUUAGAAUUUUAAUGCGUUCCUACAAUCUGAGAUAUAAUUUCGAUCAAUUCUUUAUAAAUUUCAGAAGAGCAUUUCCCUUUAAAUGUUAAACUUAACUGUUCUUUAAUUUUAUCGAAGUGGAAAAAUCGAUGCGUUGUCAGGAGCUGAAAUGUUUCAUCAAGUUUUGAAAUUCAGACAAUUAAAAUGCAUAUUGAUUUGCAAUGAUUUAAUUUAAUUUACUCGUUGCAAAUUAGUAAAAUGGUAUACUACCUACUACCAUGUCAAAUCAAUAAUUCAAUUAAUAACGGGCAAGCAUAACCUAAUAAAAAAGGGGUAAAUACGUUAUUUCUCCAUAAGUUUACUAAUCUUUUUAAUUUCACAUUCAAACUAAAAUAAUUUCCCAAGUAUUGGGGAAAGACAGGAUUCUCCCGAUCCUAAAAUUUGGCAAGGACCCCACUAAAAUAAUCAGCUAUAGGCCCAUUUCACUUUUACCCUCACAUGAGAAAUACUUGGGAAAGACAGGAUUCUCCCGAUCCUAAAAUUUGGCAAGGACCCCACUAAAAUAAUUAGCUAUAGGCCCAUUUCACUUUUACCCUCACAUAGCAAACCUCAAACAUACCUAAUAGAAUUAAAAUAUCAUACCAAUCAUUAACACCUCCAAUUCUUAGAAUAUACAUAUCAUUGAAGAAAAAUCCUCUAUCUUAGCCGAAAAUAAAUAAAUAUUUGGACAAACAAUCAGUCAGAUUCUAACGACUCGAUUCUGAUUUCACUUAAUAUGGACACGUCUUGAACGAGUCCACAUUUAUAUCAUCCGCAAACAAGAGCAAUAAUGCAACAUGGUGACACCCAAAAAUGGCAAUGCAAUAUGCAAAUAGAUUUCAGUCUUCCAAAUCAAUCGAUAUUUUCCCAAACAUUCUUUUACCUGAUAAUCUAAAGAAGCUUUCCAAAGAAGAUAACUGCAAUUCAGAAGUAAAUAUAUCUUUAAACUAUACAAAUUCAACAUAUUGGAAGAAGCAAAAGAAAACACCAACUACAACAACAAUGACUAUACAGAAUCGCCAACAGAAAUCAAGAAAACCCAAAUGUCCAUUUCUGGUUUGUAGUUUUGGGUUUUCUUUGACAAAAAUAAAAAAACAAGUAAUAUAUAUAUAAAAAAAAAUUUAAGUCAAUUCCUACUCAGGUCAACAUUUUUUUUUUAUUUUAGUUACUUUUUAUUAAAUAAUUACAAUUAAUAUAAAUAUGUAUAUGCAUAUGACAAAAUUACAAUAUUAAGUGGCAAAAUAGAGCUUGGUGACCAUUUGGCAACAUGGCGACGGAUUUGGCGACCAAAUAGAAAUUAUUGGACAAAUUUAAUUAAUUAAUUAAUAUUUGAAAAAAAAAACUGUAUUAACAUCAAGUGUCAUCCACUGCAAGUUAAAAAAAUGUAUUUGAACUUGAGUGGAUGAAUAAAAAGUAUUUUAUUAACGAUUGAAAAUUUGAGCAAAGUAUAUAUAUAUAGAGAGAGAGUGUAAGCUAAUAGUAGGAAUUGAAAAAAAUCCAAAAUUACAAAAAUAUCUAUAAUCUGAAUCACUUAGCGUAUCUCAAAAUUGGAAUUAAAACAGACGCACCUACCAGCUUACCCGAGCUAGAUGUAAAACCUGUGAAACGAAGGGGUUAUGGAGAGAGGCCCGCCACACAUUCCAUCUAUACUCGAGUCAGUACCGCCCCACUAUCAGAUUUAUCGAAAACCUUUUAAAUUUUACAUUCAUUGCCCCUAACAUGGGCAGUAAUUAAUAACAUUAUUCUGGGUAUAAUCAGAUUUUAAAUACAUGAUCUCAACCCAUCUUCAGUGGGGAUGGAUAAUAUACAGUAAUGCCCUGACAAGGGGCGAAAGAUUCUCUUUGUUUUAUUUAAAUAUUCUCACAAGUAUUAACGGGUUGUGAAAGAGAUGUUGGAAGACCCUUGGGCUCCUAACACACCUAUGAACAGUAUUUCUAAGCUAUAUGAUUAUUUGUAAAAAGUUAUUUGAUUCAUUAUUUUAAUAGAUUUUUAUGUUUUGAUUUCAGCAUUCCGGUACUGGUAAGAUGAUUUGUAAAUUUAAGUAUCAUUAUUAACCCGCUCCGAGGACCGCUAAAAUGAUUUCAUUACAUUUCAUCAAUUCAUAGUCUUCUCUAGAGAGCCAUGUCUUGACAACGAUAAAAAAAUUCUACUUCUUCAAACCCUACUUUAAGCCAAUAGAAGCUUUCCUACUGGCCAGAGAAUUCUCCUCUCCAAUCCAUUGCCUGUUCUAACCCUUCACCCUUCCACCUCCUCAACAUCUCCGCCUGGAACGCCCUCCAACUCCCAGGAGCUUCUUCAUUGGUCGGUUCUCGUUCAAGUCAGUCCUCAAUUUCAUUCUCCGCCCUUCUCUAAGCUGAUUCGAAGAUAAUAAGCCACGUCUAACUAAACGCCUGAUUGCGGGUUUUGUAAUACCCUGCAUGUUAUCACGAAGAACUUUACGAUGCCUUUUGGCACACCCCUUUCCAAGUCCCUUGCCUCCUUUACCUCGAACAGACAUGACUUCUCAAUGCCAACAGCAGGAUUGGAAAUAUCUCUCUUCUUCUCGGUACGCCUUUUAAAGAUUGAUUUUCCGAAAAAUGGAUACAAAAAGACACGAGAUGGAUAUCCCUGCGCACAGUUGAAAGAGCGGAAGGUCCUGGAAUACAAAAAACCACCAGUUGAAGAAACAGCCAUUGGAACGAUCAUCUCGUAUAACACUUUCGCAUCUGCUGCUCAAAAACGGACGGAUUUAGGGUUAAAUACGAAUGCCAUUAGGAACGACUGAAAGGACUGAAGAUACAGGGAGACAAAAAUUCAUCGAUUCCGAUGAACAAAUUGGAAUUGAAACAAUGAUAAUUCGUUGGCAUUUGUAGAACCAUUAUUAGAGAUUUAGAGUUAAAUGUAAGUUUUUAACUCAGAAAUUAUUAUACAUUUAGAUUAUUAAUGAUCAAAGACAUAGCCACAGAGAACGAGAAACAGAGGUCUCACUCUCAUACAUACUAAUAGAAACUCGUUUAACAUGGCAAUCCACAUAUAUUGUGGCGCCACUUUCACGUAGCGGAAAUAAUUGACAUUUCAUUGUCAUGACAACCACGUAAAAAAGUUUUUUUUUUCAAAGAAUAUUAUAAAAUUCAAGAAAAAACAACUUUGCUAUCAAUUUCAAUAUCUUGCUUAAACAAUGCAUUUCGGAACUAGCAUUUUUAUCAAUUUGUGUUGCUUUCUCACUUUUGUAUUAAAAAAAAUUCCUUCAUAGGAAAUUUGGAGUAUAAAUUGGUAUUUAAUAUUAAUGUAAUCACAUUUUCGUAAUGUAAUAAUUUAAGACAUAGACGUGUAAUAUAAUAAAUUUAAUGUUUUUAAAUAAUUAAACUUUAAUUACUCUUUUCAAGACGUUCUUUCAUAUCAUAUUUUUUUUAACUCCAUUGGAUAUUAAGUUUCAAUGAUUAAGAUAAGAACAAAGUAACAGUCAGAAUAUUUUUUUUUAAUUUCGACAGCAAUUAGCUUUUAGUAAAUUUAUGCUCACUCUUAUAUAAGCUUACAAAAGGUGUUAGGAAUCUGAAAUUAAAUAUUUUUUCCAACCUUGAAAGCAAAUUACAUUCUUUUAAUUAUUUUUGCAGCAUUCUAUACUCAAAAUAAUACCAACACUCAACUGAAAUAAUCAAAAUAAGAAAUAUUUUUACUGAGAAAGCAUAACAAUUAACAAAACAAUGAAAAUUAAUAACAUUUCUAACACAUUUUGAAAAUCUACAAAGCAAAAUCUUUUGUUAAGUUCACGCAUUUAAUUAAAGACCUUUGUUAAAUAUAAAUAAAAACUUCACAUAUAAAAAUUUCGGUGGAAGGGUUCAAUGUUCUUAACGUUUAGCAGAUGCAAAUUCAAGGCAACUGCCAUUGUGUGAUUCAGUAUCUAAAAAAAUAAACAUAUUUUGAUUAAGAUUCAAUUAUGCAACGUCAGUUUCCAUUUUAAAUAAACUCUCUUUUAAAAUCCCGAUGUUUAACUAUUGUGAAUAAAUAAGUCAUUAAAAUUAUCGUUAUAAUUUAUAAAAAAUUCUUA